rnacentral:rRNA from 1 species
UACGUAGGGUGCGAGCGUUAAUCGGAAUUACUGGGCGUAAAGCGUGCGCAGGCGGUUUUGUAAGUCUGACGUGAAAUCCCCGGGCUUAACCUGGGAAUUGCGUUGGAGACUGCAAGGCUGGAGUCUGGCAGAGGGGGGUAGAAUUCCACGUGUAGCAGUGGAAUGCGUAGAGAUGUGGAGGAACACCGAUGGCGAAGGCAGCCCCCUGGGUCAAGACUGACGCUCAUGCACGAAAGCGUGGGGAGCAAACAGG